AGGAGGCCGGUGGACAGCCGCCGCACAGCGGGCCUCCAGAGGGGAGGCUACUGAUAUCUCUUCUGUUGCUUAAUCUAACCAUUCCCCCAGUCUGAGCAGCCCUCAUGAAUCAGAAAAAGCCCCCAGAGUAAAGACUGUUAGGAAUCUUAAAGCAGUCGUGACACUCAGCCUGUGACCCUGCAUGUUCCCCUCAGGCCAGCAGGGUUAUCAUCCCUGGGCUGAGAAACAGAAGAAGGUUUAGGGGACUUCAGGGCACAGCUCCCAGGCCCACUCGGCCCCCAAGAGAAACAAGAACAGAUGAGAGCCUUGUUUGGAGAGGCCAAAGAUCUUGGCAGAGUCCCCUUGUGAAUCAUUCCUAUAGAAAUCACAGCGCAUGGGUACGGUCGAGAUCAACAGGCGUGCUGCUCCUUCUGCUGUGAAUGGUUCCGGGAACUACGGAAAACACGCCCCGCGGUGAGCCUGGGUGGGAGUCCGGUUGGGCAAGUGUUAAGACACUUCCAGAAGACGUGGUGGUGCCUUGUAGAAAUUUAACCUGAGAUCAGAGCAACAGAGAAAUCUUGAGGAGAGGACCACGAUGGCCUUCCAUGGUUGGGAAAGCAGGGGAACAUUCCGGGAGGCAGAUUGUGCCACAAAUCACCUACAGACACAUGCUUAAUGAUGAUUUCAUGUAACCAGUCCCCUAUAUAUUGCUUGAAGUUUCUGUCAAUAAACAGGCCAGGCCAGCUCAGCAUCUCCGCCGGUGUCCGUGCCCUCGCUCGCUGAUGCUGUUCCUCCUUUGGGGACCCCUGGACUCGCCGGAGCUGGACUCCAGCACAAAAGCCAUGAUUUACUCCUGUGAGAUCUCACCGGCAGUGACUCCCGCCUCACGGUGGGGGUGACCUGCACCUGUGGUCCCAGGUCCACUGCCUCCCUGGUGAGCCCGGAAGGGACAGGCCUUCUUCUGGCUGGGGGACCCGGGUGUCGUCAGGAGAGACCUGCCCUCAAGCGGGGCCUCCCCAGCUCGGUGACAGCUCACAUUUGGCUCGUGAGUCAUAUAUCUGAUGGGAGAGACAGGUUCAUCUUGACCCUGGGCUGCGCCAGCUGCCGAGCUGCACCUCUGAGCGCGCCCACCCCCACAGUGGGCUCAGGGUUCCUCUGAGCGUCUCUGCUUUCCGGCCGGUUGACAGGAGAGGCCGUUUCCAGAAUGUAAGGAGUCUUGCUGCACUGAGGAAACCAAGCCUUGUUACACGCCCACUCCGUCUCCUCAGACCCACCCAGCUUCCCACCUCACUGUGUGAUCUUGGGGUACACUGGGUGUGCUCUCAGGACAUCUGCUUCCGGUGCAAAGGGCCCCGGCCCUGACGUGGUCCCUGUGGACAGUGUGGCAGGUGGCAGGGGGCUGUUGCUCACAGUGUCACAGCCAAGAGCAGCUGGAGCAGCCCCUCACGCAGAGGCCCUGGUCCUUCCUCCAGAAGAGUCUGUCUGACUUGCAGCCUGUGGCAGGAAGGCAGAGGCCGCCGUGGCCGAGCAGGCCGCGCAGAACACAGGGAGGUGGGAGAGCAGAGCAUCUUCUAAGGUGUGACACACCUCCGAGGCUUUGCUCGGCGGCUGCUCUCAGGGCCAGGAUGUGCUGUGGGCUGCGAGGACGUUGAACACCUCCAGGGGCUUCUGGCGCCCCGUAGUGCUUUCUGAUGGUCACUGGCUGGCGAGAGCCUUCAACUGCAGAGACGAAACGAGUUUGUUGACUGUGCCAGCCCUGAACAUGAACAUGGUGUCUUUUACCUGACAAAAGAGCAAGGUCGUGCAGACAUAGCCACAGUAACAGCACUGCUUCGGUUCCUAUCUUAUUUGGUAUCUUAUUUGACUUUCCCUCUGUGGGCUUCAUAAACAGGGACCCUUCAGACUGGAAUGAGGUGGUUAACAUACGGUACUAAUAAAUACACCCAGUUACUCUGCUGUUGUACCAGGCAGGAGGCCUGUGUCGCCAGCAGCUGUCUGCGGGAAUCCCAGAGACAGGAGUGGCCAACGGCUGGUCUGGGGUUUUUCAUUCUGGAUCUGAGGCCUGAAUUCCGGGAAGGCGGCAGCAGUUGUCAGGGGGCUGGUGUGAAACCCUCUUGAGGCAUACGUGGCAACCUCGGCUACUGUUUGGAUCAGGACUGCAGUUUCUAGCAUGGGCUCGGCGUAGGACUUCUGGGAGCACUCGCGCAAGGCCCCUGGGGAGGCUGCCGGAGGCUGGGUCUGGGCAGGGCCAGAGCACCUUCUGGUCAGCAGUGUGAUCACAUGUGGAAGACAAAUGUUAUUUUCUCUUUUCUACAUACACACUUUCUUAGUCUAACAAUAUCAGCACACCUUUCUGUGAAUGUGUUACAUGUACACAUUUGUACUGUUAGAUGACAGCUUUGGUUUACCUACAUUCAACCGUCUAUAUGUUGGGCAGAAAGACAGAAAUGAGCGGGAUGGAAAGGAGAGAGGCCCCCCAAAGAUGACUCAGGGAGUUGACCAAAUAGAACCAGAAAGCCAGAAAUGACUCAAAGAGUUCAUCAGAUGAAGCCACAGGGUCCAAGAGUGACUCAGGAAAUAUCCAGGGUCCCCCCAGAUAAGAAGCAUCAAAGGCACAGGCACAGCACAGCCCCCGUCCCCACUUCACCAAUCAGAACAAGCCUAGGGAGCUGACGGCUGUCAAUCAGGACCUCUCUGUCCUGCCAAAACCACAUAAAAGCAGCGUCAGAAUGAGCACCCGCCUGCCUGUCUCACCUUGGGCAGCCCGCUCUGCUGCUCUGUGCAGAGGGCAUUAAAACUUACUUUGCUUUCUUGA